UUGAACGCGAAGAACCUUACCUACCCUUGACAUGCCACUAACGAAGCAGAGAUGCAUUAUCGCUGCCCGAAAGGGAAAGUGGACACAGGUGCUGCAUGGCUGUCGUCAGCUCGUGUCGUGAGAUGUUGGGUUAAGUCCCGCAACGAGCGCAACCCUUGUCUUUAGUUGCUACGCAAGAGCACUCUAGAGAGACUGCCGGUGACAAACCGGAGGAAGGUGGGGAUGACGUCAAGUCCUCAUGGCCCUUAUGGGUAGGGCUUCACACGUCAUACAAUGGUGCGUACAGAGGGUUGCCGAACCCGCGAGGGGGAGCCAAUCCCAGAAAACGCAUCGUAGUCCGGAUCGUAGUCUGCAACUCGACUACGUGAAGCUGGAAUCGCUAGUAAUCGCGGAUCAGAGUGCCGCGGUGAAUACGUUCCCGGGUCUUGUACACACGCAA
rnacentral:rRNA from 1 species